ACGCGAAAGGGACUUCGGUCCUGAGUAAAGUGGCGCACGGGUGAGUAACGCGUGGAUAAUCUACCCAAUGAUCUGGGAUAACACUUCGAAAGGGGUGCUAAUACCGGAUAAGACCACGGGAUCUACGGGUUCUGCGGUAAAAGGUGGGGACCUUCGGGCCUACCGUCAUCGGAUGAGUCCGCGUACCAUUAGCUAGUUGGUAGGGUAAUGGCCUACCAAGGCAACGAUGGUUAGCUGGUCUGAGAGGAUGAUCAGCCACACUGGAACUGAGACACGGUCCAGACUCCUACGGGAGGCAGCAGUGGGGAAUUUUGCGCAAUGGGGGAAACCCUGACGCAGCAACGCCGCGUGAGUGAUGAAGGCCUUCGGGUCGUAAAGCUCUGUCAGAGGGGAAGAAAUGCANGAGCGCUAAUAUCGUUUUUGCUUGACGGUACCCUCAAAGGAAGCACCGGCUUAACUCCGUGCCANCANNCCCCNGGGGNAAUACAAA
rnacentral:rRNA from 1 species